rnacentral:rRNA from 1 species
CCGGCCUUGACAUCCCCACGGAUGCAGGGUAAUGCCUGCAGCCCUCCGGGGCGUGGGAGACAGGUGGUGCAUGGUUGUCGUCAGCUCGUGUCGUGAGAUGUUGGGUUAAGUCCCGCAACGAGCGCAACCCCUGCCGUCAGUAGCCAGCGAGUAAAGUCGGGCACUCUGAUGGGACAGCCUGGGAUAACCAGGAGGAAGGCGGGGAUGACGUCAAAUCACCAUGCCCCUUAUGGCCGGGGCUACACACGUGCUACAAUGGCGUAAACAGAGGGAAGCGAGACAGCGAUGUAAAGCAAAGCCCAAAAACAGCGCCUCAGUUCGGAUUGCAGCCUGCAACUCGGCUGCAUGAAGCCGGAAUCGCUAGUAAUCGCGGAUCAGAAUGCCGCGGUGAAUACGUUCCC